UUUUCAUUUAAUGAUGAAGACUUACAUGACUUUCUUCAGUUACACAGAUAAAUUCUUGGGAAUGAAAGAGAGAAGAGCACACUUCCUAAUAUUUUCCUGUAGUUCCCUUAAAUGUUCAAAUACAGUUACAAAAGUGAAUUUUCUAACGCAGGCAGCUUCCAUAUUUGCUAAUGUGAUCAUUAUCGUCAUCACAUUAAUGAGAAAACUGCAGAAUGACUUGCUUCAUGAGGGAAACUGUCUAUGUGACAAAUACCAUAGUUGUUUCCAUGGUGCAAAGAUAGUUGUAUAUUGAAAUAUAGCAUGUCUCCUGAGAAAGGUUGCAUCUGGUUACAUGAAGCAACAAAAAGUUCAAGUAAUUUCAGAGUUGUAUUUUUUUGUAUUAAUGACAUUUGGCAACAACACAUGCUCCAAAAAAAUUUAUACAAGGUAAAGUUUGGCUUGUGAGUUCUGCAUUUCUGUCUGAUGUAAACGUAUUUAUCCAAUGGAUUAAUUAUUUAUAGUCUGGCCUUUCUAUAAAACUACUGUUGUAUUUCUAUUUGCUGGUUUUAAAACACUGUCUACGUGGGUGGGCAAAAUGAUAUUGCAGUGCUUACCUCUCGUGCCAGCUGGCCACCUAAAUGUCUGACUGUGUGUGUUCAACUUAGUUCAGUUGCCACAUGACAUGAAGCAGGGCUGUGACCCCAGUGAUACUCCUGCUUGUAAAUGUAAGCUCGGCUAUAAAAAUUGUUGUGAUUCCGUCAACAGUAGGUUCCUCUGUGAUGUUCUCCUCUGUUUGCCGAACCUAGAAGAAAUUUUUUAACAUCUAGAAAAGUAAAAUGUAUUUGGAAUGAGAUCUAAAAUUGUUGUAGUUGGAGCUGAUUAUUAAAAUAUGUUUUGCUUAUAGUCUGUCAAAAGAGAUCACAACUGCUGUGAAGCCAUGUUCUUUUUCAAAACUCCAGGUCUCCUUUCAGUUUUCAAAUGCUUCGGUGAGAAGUACAUAGAAAGACAGAAUUUCAGGGGUUCCUUUGUUUUAAUGGGAUAUUCUGCUGAAAUUCUGCCAGCUAGGGAGGACAAACACUGCAACGUGUCUGAGCACAUGGUAAUAUUGAGCACUACAACAGUGUUUCAAAUAAUUGCUGGUGUCACGCCCCCGCUCUCUGAAUGUUUGGAGGUCACCGUUACGGAUUGUGUCUUGCCUUCAGCAGUGACAUCACUCUCCACAGAGUGUAGCAGGUAGAAGAACCAGAGGACAGGAAAUGAAACUGGCUUUCUGAGGAACUGUCACUGCACACUGGUCUGGAUUCUCUUCCUUAAGCAUUUGGCAUUGGGCACUGUUUGGGGCUAGUUGGGCUUUCCAUACGUUUUAUGAAGAGUGAGGUAAUAUUGACCAGUGGAUGUACAACAUUUUGUGACCAGAUGUUAGUAAGAACUGUACAGAGCAAGAGAUGAACAACACGUUGCCAAGUGUUCUCAAGUGCUGAUAUUCUUCAGAUAUGCUGACAGAAACAGAUAACAUGCUACUAAUUACUAUGAACAGAUUUUCAGGAAUCUACUUUUGUUUUGCCAGGGAACAUUUAACUUAGUGCUAGCCACUCAUCAGAGCUCUCAGGAUGGUUCCCAACAACAAUGAAAGUGAGGACCUCAGUGCUGCCACCCCUGUCCCACCACUUUGGUCUCCUGGAAAACGUCUCCUGCAGCAGCACUGGGAGACCUGCAGACAGCAGAGACAGGAGGAGCUAGAGGAAGUGUGGGAUAAAAUUUGAAGAGGUACCAGCAGCAAAACCUUUCUGUGCUUCUGCUGGCACUUGCACAGGAUGAGACUUCCAAAAGGACUUCAUGAUAUCCUGCUGAAACCAAAGCUGAGUCAACCUUGUUUUAUUUAUUGAUUUUACUUAUGUGGUGUUGGUGUUUGCUUGUUUGUUGGUUUGGUUUUUUGUUUUUAAAUCACCACAGGGGUGGGUGGUGUGGCAGAAAGUUUAAGUUCUCUUGCUAUAAAACUAGCCUUUGACUUCAGCUCUGCUUUCUGCUGGAGUCUGCUGCUGAUAAACUCACUGCAUGCCUCUCAUGUGGGCGAUGGAAUCACAGGGUGGCUGGUUUGGAAACACUAAUGUUGUUUACAAAACUUUUCACUUAUCUCUGUUAGUCUUUGAGUCAAACUAUACUUAAACGGGCCUGACUUGACUAACCUUACUUCAGCCCCAAACUAUUUCUGACUAUUUUAUUCCAAAUAAAAUAGACAAUAGAUAUAAUGCAUUUUGUUUGGAAAGAAUACAUAAUUUAAAAAACAAACAAACAAACAACAACAACAACAAAAAAAAGCUGAAAAAAACUAGAAACAAGAUUUCACUUUUGAAGUGUGAUGAAGAUUGACAAAAAUAAUCCGGAAAGGAGUCAGGAAAGGUAUGCUCAAGUGGAAAGAAAAAAUAAAAAGGAGUCAUAAGUCAUUUUAAGAAUAACCUCAGAGUUUUCUUGAGUAUGAAAUGACAGUAUUUACUAAAGAGACAUUUCACAUUAGUUUGGAUAUAUAUUCGAUUCUCUGACUUCCCUGUAAUGUAUAAAAGUCAACUUUCUGUUACGUUCACAAAGACCACAAGACCCCAUGGGAGGUAAUAGUUCCACUGAUUUCAGGGGACUGACUCAACUAAUUGAACCCACUCCUUAAAAGUGUUCAGGGUAGGUUAUGCCACCUUAGGUUGUGCUAAUUCCUGAUUGGUGCACCAAAUGAAGAAUAUAUAUUUUCUUUUCUUACACUUAUCCUCACUUAGAUGCAAGUCACAAUAUUUAUACACAGAAUUACCGAUCCUUCUUAUUUAGCAUAGUUUUUACUUACGUCACUACAGAAUUUCUGUCCUUAGAAAUUUUUGUAAUGAUAUAUUUUUUUUUUCUAGAAUCAAUGGAGAAGCUUUCUUUCUGUAUUGGUUUCUAAGAAACAGGGAAUGUACAGCGCACUGCAUAACAGCCGUAUGGAGAAGCAUCAGGCCACGUGCAGAAGUGAGCCGCGUGUGUGUCCCAUUAUACAGCACAGAGCAGCUGGGAAAUCUAGGGACACUUUUGAUGAAAUAACAACAGCAUCGAAGCUCGUAAAAAUGCUCCUGGCAGCAAAUCCUUGCUUCCCAAAUAGAAAUGAGCACAAACUGAUGAUCUUGAUCACAUGAAUGUAAAAAAAAUUACUUCCUAAGAAGAUGAGCAACAUAGAUUUUAAAUCCCCCAAACUGCUAAGGAAACAGGAACUGGAUCUUCCAGGGUCAACUACAUGCAGCUGGUGCUAUGUAUUUUCCAUUCUUCUGUCUAAAUAACUACUGCACUGAUAGCAGCGGUGGGUAAUCAAUCUGACUGAAUCUCCUGGGAGCAACAUCUUGGAAAUUGCUGGACAUUGUGUGCCUGUGAGGUGGUCAGUUAUCCUACAUUAGGAGAGGACCUUGUGAGUUGUCCCUGCAAACUGAGGCCUAAUGAGAGAUUGAAUCCAGCUCUGGUUGGCUGCAGAGUCCAGUCCAGGACUUGAGGUGCCCACUUUGCAGCUGCUGGGACUUUUCAAGAUUGGUUUUGUAUAUUUUGUAUUAUUUUCUCUAUUCUUAUCAGUAGCAUUAGUAAAAUAUUUUUAAUUUUUCCAACUCUCUUCUCUCUGUCCUUCUUUCCCUCCCAAUUGCCUGUCCUUAGUGGGAAGGGGGGAGAGGGAGGGGCUGAAGAGGGAAGGGGAGGAAGAGGAGGUUAACAAUACAUCUGCCACGGUUUUAUUGUCACCCCGCUAUCAAAACCCUCGACAACUAGCACUAAAAGCAUAUCCUUCUGUAUCAAGACUUUCAGGUUGACUGCAUUUGGGAUUCAUUCCCAACUCCGCCAUGUUUUUUCACUUGAACAUUAAAAUGUCAGAUAGAAAGAAAAUAACUCAUAGCUGUCUUGGGGCUUGAUUCACCCACCUCUGAUAUCAAUUUUAUGCCAGCAUAACUCCAUUGAAAACCGUUAUAUCACUCUGGUGCUCUACCAGUAUAAUAGAGUAGCAAAUCUGACCUUAGGGGUGCUUCUUGGUUACUUCUAAUUUUCUGAUUAAAGCAGAGUUAUUGAAACUCAUAAAAUCCAUUUAACGUUGUUGCUCCACAGUGGGCUAUCUGCAUCAGAAACCUCGCUUCAUUCUACAGCUUAAGGAAAUUCCCAGCUGGCCUCAGCUCAGUGAAAGUACAUUCAGUCAAAUGCUCCAGCAGGAUUUUUAUUUUUUAAUUUGCAUGUUAUUUUAACCAUGUUCCAGAACCUUGCAAACAAAGAGAUUCAAAUAUUCCAUAGAUUUCAGGUUCUUAGGCAGAUAUGAGGCACCGUCUCCAGAUUCACCAUUCCCUACCUCUGACUUCCUCCCCAUGAAGCUGACAAAAUAACAAAGUAUUUUCAGGAUUGGCCUAUUGGGCAGGAGGAUUUGUUAUUCAGCAUCUGUAACUUGUCACUGGUGGCGUGGCUGUGCCACCACAAACUAGGGGCUUUCUCGGAGGACUACUGUCAUUCAUUGGACCAAAUUGAUACAGCUAGAAGAAGAAGAAAAGGCUUUUUUUGUUUUCUUUUUAAAUUCACUGCUCCUAUUCAGAUCCUUCCCCUAAAACAAAAUAAAAAUCCAAGCUACCUCUCUAAGAGCUUCCCCCUGUUAGUGCAUUCUCUGGAGGGGCAGGAGUAGCCUCAGGCAGCUGCAGGUCCCUCCCCAGCAUGGGGCUGUGGGGGGUACAUCUCGCUCUCCCCAAGUCUGGCUGAAUGCACACAGGGUGCUUGCUUUGUCUGAGGGAAUUGGUGUAGCAUGCACAUUGCCACCACUAAGUAGUUCAAGAUUGUGAGUCAGAAACUCCUUAAUAAGUUGCAUGCUCAAAAAGCAUGCAACUGCUAAGAACUGGGGGGAGAAGGGGGUUUGCCCCUUUGCUGUGCUAUUCUAGUAUUUGUUUUCCAUUUGAUUUUGUUUUUUUUUCUCUCUGCAGGCCCAAGGGUUAGAAAUAAAAUUUUUAUUAAUAAAUUACAACCGCAUUGCCCACAUCAUAUGUAAUUCUAAGAGUCAUACCUUAACACCACCACCAAAAUACUGGGGGACUCUAAGCUGGAUCAGGAGGGUUGGCAGCUCAUCUGGAUUGUUUAUGUUUCCUCCUCUGGGAGCAAGAGCUUUCUUUGAAAGCAUUGCAUCACCUCUCUCUGGGACGAACAAUACAUGAUGGGCAGCUUCUUGUAAAACUAGCCAGGAGUUUUGAAAAAUACAUAGUAGGGCUAAGCUUUCCAACACAGCAUCCAAACCUCCUGUAUGGCAAGGAGAGAAAAUAAUGGAUGUAAGCAGAAGUGGAAAAACGAUGAAGGGAAUGAUUACAUGAACUCGUUUCACAUCUCUGAGAUGGUCUAGUUGAGUCUGAUCUGACUCAUUAUUAUGGUUUGUAACUGUGUGUGUGCCAUUUGACAGAAGAAGGGUGACUGAGGGCUCAGUUCUAUAUACAGGCAAUCUGAGAAAUGCUAAUGGCCUCAAGUUUAAUAAAUUAGUGUAGUGAGAACGUAAAUCGUUCCACUGCCUUUGUCGGCAGGGACAUAGAGGUUGUCCGUUCAGGAACGUCAACCCAAAAUAACUCUUGAAGUGUGCAGUGUUUUUAGGAACCAUCUCAUGCAUAACUAAAAUGGUUUUCAUUUGAUUCUGCUUUGUUCAAUACAUACAGUCCAAGAGAUAAUCAUCAAGGUCUUAUUUAAUUUGAGCUUAGAAGUGUGGAGACCUAGGAGAUACAGAAAAAAAAAAAAGUGUUUAUGGGGGAAAAUAAAAAGAAGAAAGAAAAAAAGCUUCUUUAAUUCCAAAAUUGUUCCCUGUAUGUUUAAAGCUUUGAAUGAAGAUUUAUGUUGGUCCUGCUUGAUCCAAACGGGUCGCCUCUCAAUAACAAAGCUGUCUUUGAGAACGUUUAAUGCAUAUUGCUGCUGCCAGAUACAACCUCCUACUUUUUCUAGGUUUUGAAAUAGACUGGGCAAUUCCUGAGCUUUCUUUGGCAUGUGAGGAUAAUUCAUGUCUUGGACCAACUGCUCACCCAAAAGUGCAGGAGGCCCAGAUGAUGUUGAUAGGAAUAAACAAAAGGAACUGGAAAUUUCUGUAGAAGUAACUUUUUAAUAACUUUGCUUCUGCUUUAUAUGAUGGAAAAUAUUGUGAAAAUUGAGUAGUCUGUGGAGGAUUCUUUGCCCUUGGCACUAAAAAGGUUAGUUUUCUUGUUCCAUUACACGUGUACACAGCAGAUAACAUAGAAAACACUAAUCCUAGUCAGAGGCUGUUGAGAAGGAGAGACUUAAGUAAUAAAUCUGGAUAACACACUCAAAGAGCAUUGGCAUAGUGAUGGCAGCAAACACACGAGAGAGAGUGUUAAAGCUGCACUGUGUCAUGCUGAAGUGUCUUCAAAAAAUAACAGGCUCAGUUGGUUUGUUCCAAAACUUAGCAUUCCUGCUGGGGUGUAAGGGGCUGCAGCACCCCAGAAAUACCCUUUAAAACCCCCAGGCUGAUCAGUGUAAUUGCUGGCCCUUGAAACUUCAUGCCAGCGCUGAUGUGAAUGGAGGAGAUUCCAGCAAUACACUGUUUCCAUGGAGUGCAUUGAAGAACAAUGGAGCAGAGGACAAAACUUGGAUGAAGCUACCCCCAGGAAAGGUGGACAUUUGUGAAAAGGAAGACAGAUGGAACACAGAUUGAAAGGACAGUCCUGAGUCAUCCAGCCAAAUCCUGUGGUAUCAGCAGCAACCAUGUCAUGUAGGUCCUGCUCAUGAGUCUACCAAGCUGGCAGCUGUUUGACAGUGGUGUUGUCAGAAGAAUACCGUCCUGUUCUGAUAAAGCUGAAUGCAGUUCAGUUUGAUCUCCUUAGGGGUGGCAUACUGUUCAUGUAGGGUGGCUCUAGAGACCCAGGAAAUGAAAAAGUCAGACGGAUGAAAAUUUGUGUAGUGCAAAUGCAUCCUUCCACAAUUCUGCAUCUCACCACAAUGGUUCUUAACAGAGAUUUUCUUAGCAAGCAACAUAUGCAAAGAUAAUAACCUCCCUGCUGAUACUGGCAGAUAUCCUCCUUUCUGACAGACUCUGUUUCAUUCACACGCACAACGGGAGGGGAAGGGAUUUUUUUAGCACACUUAUUUUCUUUCCUAGUUCACAUCAUUCACUGAAUAUGUACAAACAGGAGGAAUGCUAAAUUGUUUACAGAAGAUCAGAGAUGAUUUGAGCCAAAACUAUCAGUUCAAGUGCCCUCAAACUUUAGGGAUUUUCUGAUGUGGCUAUGACUCCAAAAGUUGUGACUCAGACCCAUCUCUGCAGCAGAACGAACAUCAAAAUUAAUACUAAGGACAAAAGCCCCAUUCUAAGUUCUACGUGAGCUCCCAGUGAGUGUUAGACAUGAGAAAUCGUCCUGAGUCUGUCAGCAUAAAACUUUCAAGACAUAGGUAAUGUACAUCAUAAAUUUGAGUAGACAAUUACGUUUUAAGUGCUUUUCCUUUGAAAAUCUUACUAAACUUCUAUCUACUUUCCCUUCCAGACCACCUGCAGUUGCCACCCACAAGCCAAUCCCUCAUGGUCUUUAGAGGUCUUCUGUCAUUCUCAGUGUCAUUCUGAAAGCAUAGGUGCCAAGCCAAAAAAAAAAGUUUAAACAGGUGUUUAAUGUCAAAGAUGCAAUUCAUAUAAUAAGAAUUAAUAUUGACACCUAUGUGUUUACUUCCUACUAAAUGCCUGUAUAUUUUCCUGACUCUUGGCUAUGUAUAUAAUAACAAAGUGAUGACUCUGUAGAGAAAUGGAGAUCGGACAUUUGAGGGAAGGAAUUCUACCAUAAAGGAAUCCAUGGGGGUACAUCAUCUGCUCUGACACACCAGCAUGGUACCAGGAAUGCCUGUGUAAAACGCUCAAGCCAGUAUCAUCUUCCAAAAUGGAGUUGUGGAUUAGGGAAUAUUGCAAUGAAGUUUCCAGUACUUCUUGUUUCCCCUUUUCUUUUGUCUUUGCCAGGUUAUAUAUGUAGAUUGAAGCUGCUGACGAGAUGAGCGGCAAGGAAGAAUUUUAAAAUCAAUCAAAGUAAAAUAUAAGGUUUUGGUGAUUUUUUUACUAUAUUCCUUCUCAGUCAUCUACUGGUAUUUUUUUAAUUAUUCUUGAGACUAAAGCUUUCCUGCUCAGAGACCUGAGACUGUCCGCCUAUGCACUUAUCAUCACUGGCUUUCAUGAUGGUCACUUUCUCUUCUCUGACUUAUCCAAUGUUCAUUCAAAUACAUCUGCCAUAGGUGAUCUUCCUUACUUAUGACUACAGUUAGAGUAACCUCUUCACUGAAUCCUUCCAUGGACUCAUCAUUUGCAGCACUAGAGGUGCUCACUUCCUUGGUUUCAAAAAAUAAUUCAAAUUCACCUUUUCUUGAUUUUUUGGUCAUCUCUCAACAAAUUGCUCCUUGCUUUCAUAACAUCUUUGCUAUGGAGUUAUAUCCUUGUGACAUUUUGAGGGUUGCCUGGGGUCUUUUUUGUGUGUGUGUGUGUGUUUGUGGGAGGGUUGUUUAUUUCGUUUGUUUGGUUUGGUUCUCUUUUUCUCCUAUAUUGUAUAGCGAACAUGUUACUUGAAAUGCUGUCUUUCAGCAGCCUGAAAAUCUGCUUCCUCCUUAUUUGGCUCCAUUCUCAAGACUUAGCUCCUAUGCCUCUAGGUAUCUCCCUUUAAGAAGAGAAAAUGAUUUGUGAUUGGGAAUUCUUUUCUACAUUUAUUUUUAAAAUUUGAAAUACAAUGUGAUGAUGGUUGUGAUAUACAUGUGUCUUAGGCUGACUCCACAAAAUUACUGUUUAUUGCUUCUGUCACCUUUGAUUUCCCCUUCUGUUGCAGCUUUCAGUUGCUGAAGCUUGUCUUAAUUUCAGGCCCAGCUCCUACUACUUACACAUCUGCUUACAUUUAGUCACCUGCAUACUCCCAUUGAUUCCAGUGAGAAUAGACACAUACUUUAAAUUGAGCACAUGUGCAAGAUUUUUGGAAUUAAAUCAUGGGAAAUAAAGUCUACUUGUUAUUUUUCCGAGCUUCAACAGCUAGCAGCUUCUGCAGGUGGUCAAACCUGCAGAGGUUUAAAAAACAUUGUUACUUAAGACAGUCAACCUAAAAUCAGCAAGAUUUGAGAAAAGGUCUUGACAAUAUUAAGAAGAGAUUUUUUUUUUUUAUGGCAAUAAUAGUGGUGCGAGCUUUCAUUGCAAGGGCUGUUCCAAGACAGUAGAAUUGGCAGUGACCCAACAUCUUAUUCUCUUUUUUCAAGGCAAUACUCAGAUCAGAGACAGUUUUCCUCCCUGGUGUAAAUCAGUGUUGUCAAAGACAGUAAGGGAAAUAGUAGUUUGUAAUUUUUGAUGGGGAAACAAUCCCAGUGUAACUGGUGCUGAGUUGUUUGGUAAUUGGAAAGUACUUUGUUUCCUGAAAUAUAAACACCAAAAGUUCAGAUGAAAAAUCAGGUUGAAAAUCCGUCUGUACGGUGAAGACAGACUACAUUAUUAUAAUUUGUUUUUCUUAUUUCUUUAUGUUUGCUUCAUAUUUAAGCUGUUACAACAAGGGCUGGAAACAAAUUUCAGUCUUCAUUUAGUAGCAUUGUAACUGGAUUUCAAUUAAAAAAACAAUAGAGAGAAUUUAUAAUUGAUGGUAUUCUAAAUCACAUGCUACAUGAUAUUUAAAAUUAUUUGAAUGAAUUUAAACCAUUACAAUUAAAAUAAUUAAAAUUAUUUGAAAAUACAUUUUUCCCUUUGAUAAUUCAGGUUGGUAAUGGCAGAGUGAAACAUGAGAUAUAAAGAAAACUGCAGGAAGAUAAGCUAAUGACUGUUUAAUUUUGAUAUAAUAUUUCAUUCUUCCUGAAGUGCAACUUUAGAAAUGUGAUUCACAAUACACGGAAGUUAAAUAAAAUGCUUCAUUCCAGCACACUAUGAACACUGGUCUCAAAAUAUCGUCUUUCCCAAAAGACAGGAAUUCUGAGCUACCACUGUCUUUGCGUCUCUAUGGCCAAUAUCUGCAUUAUUUAUUUAGCCUGGAAAAGCCCUCUGAAGGAGCAGGAUCACAGGGCAUCUCAGAUAGGGCCAGAUGAGAGGCGAUGGGAGGUUGAACCCUGCACUUGGCUGGUCCCUUGCACUGGAGGAAGGAGCCCCUCAGCUCCAGGUCCCUGUUGGGAACAGAAACCCAAAAGCCAGAGAAAGAGAAAGAAAACCAGAGGGAACAGAGAAUGUAACCUAGUGUUUCCAGGCAUCUCCUGAAAAAAGCCUUUCAGUCUCAGUCUUCUGGCUGCAUGGAAGUGUAUGAGGUGAUCUCAGCCUUGGAAAUCAGUAAAUUAGAUCAUCUAAUUCAUUUCUCUGCUAACUGUGGAUUAUUUUUGCUGAUGCACAAUUUGGUUUUUUUAUUCCUCUAAUCUGUUGGUAACUUGAUUCCUUUAUGUCUGAGAAAAAGUAUUUCCUCCUUUUCUACCUUCAAGCUGUUGAUAUAAAGUAACCACAUUUAUGAAAGGAGCACAAAAAUGUACAGGGGUGAAUGCACUGGAGAUCCAGAGUUAUUAUCCAUUUUUUCAGUGACUUCUGCCUUUUCAGCUCUGAUGUCUUGCAGGCAGGGCAAAAAUUAUUAGUAUGAUCUGUUCCCUCUUCAGGGUAUGUUUCUAUUUGGCAUUCAAUAACACACUUUUUUUCACUAUUCUAUGAAUAUGACACUAUCUGCAAACCAUUUUUGUUCUCUCUGAUAUGUGCUAAAUAAUGACAAAGCAACAAAAAAAAUUAUGCACACUGUAAUUAACUGACCUGUGGUACAAGAAGAGUAAAUAAACUAAUAUCCUUGGAGAUCUCUUUUAUUAUUACCAAUUAUUUUUUAAACACCACAGGUCUCUUUGUAGUUGUGGAAGAAAAGUACUCCAGUGUUGCAUUUGACUGGAGGAAGGACCAAGUGAAACAUGCUUGUCCUGGGAGGUCGAUACAUGAGAGGUGGAGCAGGCUGGCUGUUUUGGUGGUAGCCCUGGUUUUACUGAAGUUGGUGAGUUUUGGAGGUUCUUUCUUCUACCCCACAGUGCUCAUCUCUAUCAUAUAUCAGGGGAAAGCAAUUAAUUUGUGAUGUACAAAGAUAUUAGGUAGUACUUGAAAGUAUUUAGCUGGUUUGAAUGGUGUCUGGAGUCUAUCUCUUCAUAAAACUCAUCUUUAUGAAGGCUCAAGAAUCUUCCUUUGUAGCAUAUCCAGAAAUUGUCCAUGAGCCAAGUUCAGAAGAAGCAAGAAUAUGAAAAUGCAGCUAAAAGUGCAUGUGAUAUGCAUGGACAAUGUAUGGGAAAGAGUCACAGGAAUUAUAAGGCUUGGCAGAAAAAACAUAGCUUGCCUCAAGUUGAGGGUACUUGUGAGGCUUAUUAAACCUUCACUCCGGCCAUUUCCAGUCAAUUUUAUGUUAUCAUUUACUACAUGAUGGAAUUGAAAUAUGAAUUUUCCAUAGCAACUCGGGCUUUAAAUGGGGCAUGUGUUGCUUUACAAAAUUGCAGCACCACCUUUAAAUGGAGUAAAGGAUAGUGCUCUAUGUAAUCUGGACAUUUACAAAAAGUUAUUAGCAAAAUGUGACUUUUAUAAACGUAUUUUCUCCAAUUUUUAGAGUACAUUUAAUAAGGAAAGGUUGUAAUUACAAAAAAAAUCAUAUGUAUUUAUAAAUAUAUGUAUAAAAUGAACUAUUUCAGCUUAAUCCAUUUUUGAGGAAAAAAAAAAAAAAAAAAAAAGGUGGACAUAGGGCUGGCAAUGAUAAGACCAAUGCCCUGUAGGAGAUUUACAGGAUGCACGUGAGGGUUUCUAUGCCACUGCUUUCUUGGUUCCCUAUAAGAAAAACAAAACAGUGACAGGUCAUAUAUUCAUUCAUGCAUUUUACUAUUUCCAUUUGAUCAGUCCUUUUGCCAGAAAAAUAAUGGAGCAUCCAGAAGAUGAUGUAAUUGUACAUAAAUAAAUGUUUAUUCAAAUCCCCUACUUGCAGUCACCUCCCACUAACAAAAUACCAGAGUCAGCUGGAUUUCUGGAAAGCAGAAUGUGUCCAGAAGUUUUGCUAGGUUAUGCAGAAUUAUGCUUGUUUAACUGAGCCUUUGAAUGUCUCAUAUGGUUAUAAAUGUGUAUGUUUGUGUGUGUGAGUGUGUGAAUGUAUACCUGCAUAUGUGAUACAAAACACUUGGACUUGCACAUCCAUUUCACUUUUUUCCUGUUAUUUCCAGCUAGACAUUACUAGCAAGAUCUAUCCUAAGCAUAAGAAUACAUAAGGUUUUUUAUUGAGGACAUCAAUUCUACAUAACUGAUGUACAUUUUUUUUUAAGCUGAGUUUGAAGAGAGUCAUCCAUGUGUAUGUUUAGCGUGAGAAUAAAAGCUAUACAAAAAGCAAGCAACCUUCUCACCCUCUUUGCAAAUUAUUUCUUCUGACUAACAAAAUCACAGCUACUUGUUAUCAUUUUUAAAAGCAGGUCAAGAACCCAAGCCCUGUAGGGAACAAGUACUACAAUGGGAUAAUAUCCUAACAUGCUUCAACGCCAAAUAUCAACUUCCCGUUUGCUAUUCAUUAUAUUAACUGAAAAUUUCACAGGACAAAAUGACAUCCUAUGGAUUGGCUUAAAUCCACUGUCCUUGCUUCAGAUUCUUGUGAGUACUGAAAACCACAGCAGGUUUGAAUUUUGUUUUCCUUUGUAAUCUAAAAAUAUUAUUUGUUUUGGCUUAAGGCAAAUUGUGAGAAAUACUGAUACACUUAAAGAGAACACAUUUAAGUGCUGAGGACAGCAAAUGAACCUUAGCAGUGCUGUAUGUGAGGCUCUAAAUUUGCAAUAUACAAGUGCUUUACUGGGAUUUAAGUAUAGGGGUGUCAAAUUAGUUAUAUGUCCAAAUGUGUGUAAUCGGAGAUGAUACGCAGUUAAAAAUAGCUAGUGCAUAAGGUAAAAAUUAUUCUCAAAAUUUAAAGGAACCAGUUUAUACUCCCAUCUAAGAUAGUUUAUGUAAAGCAUGCCCCAUAUUCACUGAAGAAUACCAGAAACUGAUGCAAGUCCUGAUGUAAGUUUUCAAUAAAAUAAUGAAAUUAGAUCCUAACUAGCUAGGAACAGUGCAGGUUUGAUUUCAGAGCUCCAUAACACCAUGGCUAUAGGCAGUAUAAUUUCAUAGUUCUCAGAAUAUGUGGAACUCGGGAGCUACUCAGAAACAUAAGCUGCAGUGCCUGGAGAUAAAGUAAAAUAUCUAUUAAUUCUGUGUAUCAAAGCUUGUCUUCUCUAAAAGAAUAUAUGUUACAGAGAGAUACU